GGCAGACACAAUACAGGAAGCUUACAAAUGGGCAGAAUUUUUGAAUUAAUGAUAUACUGGAUUCUUAAAGGAUUGUUCCUCAUAGUACUUUACAUAAUUUAGCAAUGAAUUUGCAAACAAACAAAAUGAGAUUAUGGUUGUCUGAAGGAUUGCUAUGCCUUUCAACCAUUUACCGGGGUUAUAUGCUAAUCUUUUUGAGGAUAAAACCUUAUGAACACCAUUA